CAGCAGCCGCGGGAAUACGAAGGGUGCAAGCGUUACUCGGAAUUACUGGGCGUAAAGCGUGCGUAGGUGGUGGUUUAAGUCCGUUGUGAAAGCCCUGGGCUCAACCUGGGAAUUGCAGUGGAUACUGGAUCACUAGAGUGUGGUAGAGGAUAGUGGAAUUUCCGGUGUAGCAGUGAAAUGCGUAGAGAUCGGAAGGAACAACUGUGGCGAAGGCGACUAUCUGGGCCAACACUGACACUGAGGCACGAAAGCGUGGGGAGCAAACAGGAUUAGAUACCCCGGUAGUCCCUGUCUCUUAUAC
rnacentral:rRNA from 1 species